rnacentral:rRNA from 1 species
CAGUAGCCACGGGAAUACGUAGGGUGCAAGCGUUAAUCGGAAUUACUGGGCGUAAAGCGUGCGCAGGCGGUUAUAUAAGACAGAUGUGAAAUCCCCGGGCUCAACCUGGGAACUGCAUUUGUGACUGUAUAGCUAGAGUACGGCAGAGGGGGAUGGAAUUCCGCGUGUAGCAGUGAAAUGCGUAGAUAUGCGGAGGAACACCGAUGGCGAAGGCAAUCCCCUGGGCCUGUACUGACGCUCAUGCACGAAAGCGUGGGGAGCAAACAGGAUUAGAUACCCGCGUAGUCCCUGUCUCUUAUAU